ensembl:snRNA U6 U6 spliceosomal RNA
GUGCUCGCUUCAACAGCACAUAUACUAAAAUUGGAACAUACAGAGAAGAUUAGCAUGGCCCCUGAGCCGGGUGUGGCUCAAAGACCAAAGAUAGAUAGAUAAAUAAA